CCAGCGCACCUGCCUCAGGGACUCACCUCGAUCCCUCGAGACACUGCAGGUCAGAUUGAAGGGCUUCUCCACUGGAGCCACCAGACGCUCCGGAGCCGUUACCCUGCCUGAAACAUAUAACCGGUAGCUACAGGCGCAGGAGGAGGAGGAGGAAGAGGAGGAUGAGUGGCACUGUGGUGUGGAAAUACUUAAGUUAUCAUCUUCAGCCCGACAUGAACUCUCGAUCCAACAGAGAGUCGGAGAGAAUCUGGAAGUGCAAACAAUUUGCUCUUCCAGCUCUUCGAAGCCAAGUCAGCUCCUGUGGUCACCAGAUGUUGUCCAUCACACUCAAACUAUUCAGUGGGGUGCAAAAUAAUCUCCCCUUAGCUCUGCUGUGUAUUGUAGAUGGAUUUUUCAAAUAAACAUUCGCUGGGUGUCAGAGACCUCUUGA